rnacentral:rRNA from 1 species
GUGAAUGACAAGAGAAAAAAAUACAUGUCCUUAGCCAAAACAAAUGAAUUAUUAUUAUUAGGAAAAAAAUACAUGUAAAAAAAAUACAUGUCGCUGCAUCAGCCGCCCCACACGCACAGCGCGAUGGAACCUUAUCCCUUCCCAUCUCCUUCCCUUGUUUCUUCUCACCCUUCUUCUCCGCAACCAUGGGCAUCUUCACCUCGCAAUCUCGUCACCGGCCACAUCUCCCUCCUCCUCCUCCAACCCAGCUUCGCUCCUGGCACGGCACACGGUUACUCCUCCGGCACGCAGCAGCCAUCUGUAUUGGGUGCCAUGCUCAUACCUCAUCGAGGGGCGGCCGGCAGCAAGAUCCGUGAUGCUACUUUUGCACUGCUGCUGCGUCGACGGCGCCGUCGUGUGUUCUACCGGGGGAGGGACUGCUGGUGCUUCUAGGAAGCGGCGCCGCAGCUAGAGACGGCAACCGAUGAUGCGGCAACGGCCGGUGAUGCAGCGACGACGUCUUGACGGUGUGGCAACGGCCGAGGAUCCAGCGAAGGCAGGUCAGGGCGGCUUGCUUUCAAUCCCACGUACGAUUUUCCUUUUAUUCUUUCAAUCCCUAUCCGAUCUCUUCCCUUGAUUUAUAUAUAACUUCCCCCAUGAUCUCCGUCAUGUCCGUCCUCCUUGUAGCUUCGUUUCGGCUUUCUCUUCCAAUUCCAUUGGGCACAAAUCUUAUUUUUCCUUCAGGUCAAUAUUGAUUCUUGAGGCGGCUUAGUGACUUCAGAUUAUAGGCGUUAAUAAAUUGGUGGAACAGGAGCGAUGUGGUACUAUUUAUUAAUACUGAUAAGCAAAUAGAUCCUUUCUUUCGCAUGCGAGGCGGGACUAAUGGAAAUCAACGGAAACAAAAGGUGCACAACUGGCCCAGCUCGGCCCACGCACGAAAGUCAAAACUGCAACCCAUGCGGGGAUAUGUGGGGGAUGAACGUGAAGGACGGACUAAGAUUAAUACCACCUCAGAUAGAAAAAAAUAGAUGAGGCGAACGGACGGACGAAAUUACGGUGGUAAGAAGUGAUAGCCGCUUUAUUUUAUUAUUAUUAGGUAAAGAUAAAGAUAAAGAUAGGUCAAUAGGCAGCCCAAUAGGCUGAAUCAUAGGUGGGCCGACAGCUAAACAUGCGCCGGCCCGUUUAAUAGUAGCGUUGUGCCUGGGCCAGGGAGGACAGCACGCAUGCCGGCCCGACACGCUGUGUAGUUAGCAUGCCGUGCCUGGCUUGUAUAAUCCAGGCCGGGCCGUGCCGUGCCGGGCCAGCCCAUCUGGCCAGGUUUGGACAAAGAACACCCACCGACCCGAUGCCGACUAGAACGAGGGAAAAACUGAACCGAAACGAAACUCCGCUGAUGCAGGACUACCCUUCCCUCCUCCCGCACGGCUCUCCUCCCUCGCCCCGGCGCCUCCACUCCGGCAACCCGCCCUACCCGCCGCCAUGCCGACGCCGACGCCGACCGCCGGAACGCGGCCCGAAAACCCAAUCCCCACCGCGCGCGCCCACGCCGCCGGCUCACGCGCCUCGGCCGGGGUCCGCUCCGUCGCCCGCCUUGACGGCCCGACCGGGCCCACCACGCGCCGCCUCGGGCGCGCCCGUAUCCUGGUCGGUGCGGGCGGGGGCCUAUAUAAGCCCCUGGACGCGCGCCCGCCCGCGCCCAGGCGCUUCCCCUAUUGCGAUCGAGCCAGUUGCUGCGGUUAUGCGAAGAGGCGGUGCGGUUCCCCAGAAGCGCCGAGAUCGGAGGUUUUCGUUGGCGGCUUUCCCCGCUGGCAUUGGCUGCCGGAGGUCCCUGAAUCGGCGAACGACUCGAGCGAUUGUCGUAGGUAAAUUUCUUCUGCGUUUCUCGUGCUUGAUCAUGUCGAUUCUUCAUUGCUGUUCAUGAGUUUGGGAUUGUUCUUAUCGAAUUGGCGCCUCGAUGCUUGCAAAUUCCGGUGUAAAAAUAGCAUAACAAGAGAUCUCGAGUUGGCUCGAGACUAAACGAAUCUAAAAAAAUAGCUAAACUAAACUAAUCUGUUAUACGCCGAUAUAAUCUUCAAUCUAAAUUAAGGAAACGUUGAAAGAAUCAUAUCUUCCAGCACUUGAUUGAUCUGUUCUUUGCCGAAAUUAAUCCGAAUAACCAAUUAGACUUGCGAUCUGUAGAACAAUCACAACAAAUUUGGUACCUGUGGUAUGUCAAGAAAUCUAAAAAACAAAAAUUGAUUCCAUCUGAAUUUUCUUUCUGAUUCCACAUACUUGCUGCUAUAAUUUAUGAAUUAGGUGGUUCACUUUUCCGUUGCAAACCAAAUUGUUUAGAUUUGAAGAAAGAACACUGUAAUCUGCAUCUAAUCUGAUAUUGUUUAACAAGAAAUUGGAGUUGGCUUGAGACCAAACGAAUCUGAGAAUACCUAGACUAAACUAAUCUGUCGAUUAUAAUCUUCAAUCUUAAUUUAGGAAAACUGUGAAAGCUUAUCUCUAGCAGUUGAUUAAUCUAUUCAUUGUCAAAAUUAAUCCGAUAGUCAAUUUGAGUUGAGAUCUGUAAAAUAAUCACAACAAAUUGGUACCUGUGGUAUGUCAAGAAAUCUAAAACGUUUGUGAAAACCUAUGAUUAAGAUACUUAGAAACAACAAAAAUUUAUUCCAUCUAAAUCUAUCAUGAUAUGUUUCUGUAGCUAGCUCUAGUUAAUGUUCAGUGCUUAUUAUGAAUUUGAUUUCGUACUGAAUGCUUAGGAUCUUCCAUUGAGUUAUAUAAAUACUUAUAGCAAUUUAAAAAAUGCAGCAUAGCCCAGCUUUGUACCUAUUGGUUGACAACGUUGUCGGAAAUUUAAACUGCUACUAGAACAAAAUACAAGUUGAUGACUAAGAAUGCUGAUUGAAAAUCUACUUGUUGCUUCCUUUUCUAUGGCAUAAUCAUAGUAAGAUGGUCUUACUGUAGCAUAGCCCAGCUUUGUACCAAUUGGAUGAUAAAGUUGUCGGAAAUUUAAACUGCUAGAACAAAAUACAAGUAGAUGACUAAGAAUGCUGAUUGACAUUGUAUGCUUGCAAAUUUCCAUAUAUUGUGUACUGUUCUCGUAGCUUACUAACCUGCUCGUUCUUAAUGAUUUUUUGGUUCAUACUGUACUCACAUCUUGUUUUUGAAGGUAUUUUGGUUAUUAAAUGGCUAUUAUUGAAGCAUUGGAUAGAACACCGGCUUCUGUUACUGGGUCUUCUCCUGCAGUCAGUCCAGAAAACUUCAUCAAAUGUAUGAGGAAGUUUUAUCGGCACUGGAAGGAGGAUGAGACUGAGAUAUGGGGAUCUUCGUGUGCAAUUGCUGUUGCUACUCCUCCACCCUCUGAAGACAUUCGAUAUCAGAAAUCAUUAGCCUUGAGCACGUGGUUUUUUGGUCAUCAGUUCCUAGAAACUAUAAUGGUCUUUCUCAGUAGGCAGAUUCAUUUCCUGUGCAGCCAGAAGGACAGUGAUGUGCUUAAACCUUCGAAGAUGCUUGUUUCUAAAGAAGCCGGUGUUGAUAUCGUGUUGCAUAUACUGAAAAAGGGCGAUGAUGGAUCUGCCUUAAUGGAUGAGAUCAUACGUGCUGUAUGUGCGCAUUCUGAAUCAAACAAUGUUGUUAUUGGUCACUUAGCAAGAGAGAAGCCUGAAGGCAAGUUUCUUGAAGCAUGGUCUGAAAAGCUGCACAGAUCGAGGUUAAAGCUUUUUGAUGUGUCAAGUGGCAUCUCUGAACUUCUUGCUGUGAAAGAUGCCACCGAGAUUAUGUAUGUGAAGAAGGCUGCAUUUUUGGCUGCUUCGGUUAUGCGGAAGUAUGUAGUUUCUAAGGUGGAGAAGAUCAUAGAGGAUGAAAAGAAGAUAGCACAUUCAAAGCUGAUGGUUCUGACAGAGAAGAUACUACUUUCCCCAAUAAAUGUAGAUGUUAAACUGAAGGCAGAUAAUGUUGACAUAUGCUACCCACCUGUUUUUCAAAGUGGAGGCAAGUAUGACCUUAGGCCAUCUGCUUCUAGCAACGAUGAUGAUCUGCACUAUGAUUCUGGAAGCGUCAUCAUCUGUGCUCUGGGAGCCAAGUACAGUGGCUACUGCUCAAAUGUCGCAAGAACCUUCCUGAUUGAUUGUAAUGCAGAAAAAUGCAAUGCAUAUAAAGUCCUCCGUCAGGCGCAUGAUGCUGCUAUUGCUGCUUUGACACCAGGUAGCAAGUGUUGUUCCAGUUAUCAGGCUGCAGUUACUGUGAUCAGGGACCAAGCUCCUGAACUUCUUCCUUUCCUUACCAAGUCAGCUGGAACAGGAAUUGGCAUCGAGUUCCGUGAAUCUUGGCUGUCCUUGAGUGAGAAAAAUGGCCGGACGCUAAAGGAAGGGAUGAUUUUCAAUGUUUCACUUGGGUUUCAAAACCUUAUAGACAAGACCAACAAUGAGAAGACCAAGGAAUUCUCCCUAUGGCUGGCUGACACUGUUCUGGUCUGCAAGGAAAAUCCAAAAGUCUUGACAUCUUUUAUCUCCAAGGCUGACAGCGAUGCCUUCUACUUAUUUGAUGAGGAAAAUGCAGGAUUACCUGCUGUGAAACAAGCUCCGAAAGCAAACGUUAUGGUCCCGGUUAAACCAGUGCUAAAUCCAUUGAGAGAAAAUCUGCGAUCCCAUAGCAGGACACCUAAGGAGGAACUUAGGAAACAGCUUCAGUCAGAAAUCUUAAAGAAGAAAACAAGUGAGGCAGCAGUGAGAAGUGACGUUGCUGAUCAUAAGUUGUUGGAGGGGCUUGGUCGUUCCAGAGCUAUGGAUGAACUGGUUGCAUAUAAGAAUGCAAAUGAUGUGCCUGUUUCCAAUCGACUGGACAUUAUUCAGGUGGACAAACAGAAUGAGGCUAUCCUGUUACCAAUAUAUGGAGUUACUGUUCCCUUUCAUGUUUGUACCAUAAAAAAAGCAGAAAUUCGUGGGGAAAGCAGCAGUGGAGUUUAUGUCAGCAUUACAUUUAAUGUCCCUGGCACUGCUUCUGGUCUUCAAGAUCCCCGCUUGCAGAACCUUAUUUUUUUGAAAGCAGUCACCUUCCUCUCAAAAAACAGAAGUCAUGCUGAAGAGGUUAUUAAAUCGGUGAAGACUGUUCAAAAAGGAGUCACCGAAAGAGCUAGGAGAGCGAGCUUGGUUAGUCAGGAAAGGCUUCAACUAUGUGACGGAAUGAGCAGGGAUAGGAUUCAGUUUCCUGAUUUGUGGAUACGGCCAUCGUUUGGUGGCCGUGGGCGGAAGGUCGCUGGAACUUUGGUGGCCCAUGUCAAUGGUUUUCAAUAUUCUGCAUCGAAAACUGAAAAGGUGGAUAUUAUGUUCAGCAACAUAAAACAUGCCUUCUUCCAGCCAGCUGAGAGAGACAUGAUAACGCUGCUCCACUUCCAUCUGUACAAUGAAAUCAUGGUGGGCAACAAGAAGACUAGAGAUGUGCAGUUCUACACUGAAGUGAUGGAUGUUGUGGACGCGGUUGGUCUUAAGCGCCAUUCAGCACGGGACCCUGAUGAGAUUGAGGAAGAGCAGCGUGAUAGGGCACGAAGGAAGAAAAUAAAUGGACAGUUUGAGCUGUUUGUGAAAAGGGUUGUUUCCGUUUGGUCGCAGCCAAGAUUUCAGCAGCUCGGCUUACAUUUUGAAAGGCCAUCACAGAAGCUUGGCUUCAAUGGAGUCCAUGGCAGAACAACUUGUUUUAUAGUUCCUACUCCUAGUUGCCUGGUACAGCUUGUUGAGUCACCGUUUCUUGUGACUUCGUUGAGGGAGGUCGAGAUAGUAUGCUUGGAAAGGGUGGCCCUGGGGCAGAAAUCCUUCGACAUGGUGUUUGUAUUUCAAGAUUUAAAGCGAGAUGUUGUCCGCAUAGAGGUCAUUCCAAUGGCAUCUCUUGACAAGAUCAAAGAUUGGCUUAAUGACAGCAACUUGAAGUACUAUGAAUCAAAGCUGAACCUCAACUGGCGAAUGGUCCUCAAGAAGCUCGACGAGCCAGGUUGUGACACAAAUGACAGGUGGGAAUUCUUGAAUCCAGAUGCUACUGACUCAGAUUCAGAGGAUUCUGAGACAGACGAUGACAAGUACGAACCUUCUGAAGCGGAGUCAGCCUCUGAUUCGGAUGAUGAAGACAGCGACAGCGAAUCAGUGGUGGAUUCUGGCGAGGAUGAGGCUAUCUCGGCUGGCUCAGAUGACGACGACGACGACGACGACGCUGCCGAGUCAUGGGACGAGAUGGAGCGCAAGGCGAGGGAUGCCGACAUGGAGAUGGGCAGCGAAUCCGACAGCGAAGACGAGAGGCAGCGGCGGAGGGAGAAAGCAAAACGGCAGUUGAAUCCCCAGCAGUCCAAGGGUGUUCCCCAGAAGAGGCAGCGUGUCAACUGAAGGCUAGAUUUCGGUUCCUCCUAGCAGUAGUAGUAGUUUCGAUUUCACUGCGAGUUUUUAUCCAUGCCCUUUUGGCGUCUGUCGUCUCCAGUAGUGGUGUUGACUUAUUGCUAUAUACUUCCAGCUAGCGGUUUUGCAUAUUUCGAAGACUAAAGUUCUAAAUAUAUGCCCCUAUCAUUUCUAACACGUCAUGUUUUCUGCUUGCUGGUUUUCACUUGAGCACACUACUUUUUCUCAUUGUUCGUGACACAGUUGAAACUUACUCCUAUUUUCGUG